rnacentral:rRNA from 1 species
UACGUAGGGAGCAAGCGUUGUUCGGAUUUACUGGGCGUAAAGCGCACGUAGGCGGGUUGUUAAGUCAGGGGUGAAAUCCUGGAGCUCAACUCCAGAACUGCCUUUGAUACUGGCAACCUAGAGGCUGGAAGAGGUUAGUGGAAUUCCCAGUGUAGAGGUGAAAUUCGUAGAUAUUGGGAAGAACACCAGUGGCGAAGGCGGCUAACUGGUCCAGAUCUGACGCUGAGGUGCGAAAGCGUGGGGAGCAAACAGGG